UAGUAGUAAAACCUGUAAAAUUUUGGCAUAAUCCAACCUGAUAUAGAAAAUACUUUUGACAAAACCAUGAUCUUUUCAAAUUAAAUAAGAGCUACAAUAGCUUAUUAACUACAAAUGUAUUGCCAUUUUCUUAAAAUGUACCAAUUCCUUGGACACCAAAUGUGCUGCAUUUCUGAGGUCCAGAAACCAGCACACAAGUCUUUCACCUGUCAAUCAACUAUAGCAAAAAUCAUGUAACAUGAAAAUGUAAAGGUAAAGGUAAAUUAAUCCAAAUUCCAAGCUAACAAAAACAAAGACAAGGCAUCACCAGUAUAUCCCUUGAGCUUGAAAUUAAGACAUGAAACCACAGAAUUUCCAAGGCUAGAACUAUCACAGUGGAACAAUCUGCUGGCUUAUCUGUACUCAGCCUCCGUCUCCGCGAAAAUAAUGCUAUCCAAGUUUACAUGGAGAAAAUGUGCUGCAGUCGUCUUUUUGAACAUAUACUAGGCGAAGGGGAAAAGGGAGAAACCCCCAGAAAGAAUAGAAAUGGGUGGCAUGGGAACGAUCUCAAUCACAGACGAGUCCAAAACCUGAUCAUGAAGAAGCAUAUGCUGCCGUUUAAAGUUCACUCCCAUCCACCCAUUUCCACUCGCCUCUGGGAGGCUUAUUCUCCCAUUCCAUAUCAGCUUAGCUAUCUCCACGGAAUUGAAUUGUGC
rnacentral:misc_RNA from 1 species